rnacentral:misc_RNA from 1 species
AACGCACAUUGCGCCCGCCAGUAUUCUGGCGGGCAUGCCUGUUCGAGCGUCAUUUCAACCAUCAAGCCCCAGGCUUGUGUUGGGGACCUGCGGCUGCCGCAGGCCCUGAAAACCAGUGGCGGGCUCGCAAGUCACACCGAGCGUAGUAACAUACAUCUCGCUUAGGGCGUGCUGCGGGUUCCGGCCGUUAAAAGCCUUUUUUACCCAAGGUUGACCUCGGAUCAGGUAGGAAGACCCGCUGAACUUAA